UACAGAGGGGGCGAGCGUUGUUCGGAAUUACUGGGCGUAAAGGGCGCGUAGGCGGCCUUCUAAGUCGAACGUGAAAUCCCCGGGCUCAACCCGGGAACUGCGUCCGAUACUGGGAGGCUUGAAUCCGGGAGAGGGAUGUGGAAUUCCAGGUGUAGCGGUGAAAUGCGUAGAUAUCUGGAGGAACACCUGAGGUGAAGACGGGUUGCUGGGCUGAUACUGACGCUGAGGCGCGAAAGCUAGGGUAGCAAACGGG
rnacentral:rRNA from 1 species